UACGGAGGAUGCAAGCGUUAUCCGGAUUUAUUGGGUUUAAAGGGUGCGCAGGUGGCUUUGUAAGUCAGUGGUGAAAGUCUGCCGCUUAACGGUAGGAUUGCCAUUGAUACUGCGGAGCUUGAGUUUGGAUGAGGUAGGCGGAAUGAGUAGUGUAGCGGUGAAAUGCAUAGAUAUUACUCAGAACACCGAUUGCGAAGGCAGCUUACUAAUCCACAACUGACACUGAGGCACGAAAGCGUGGGGAUCAAAC
rnacentral:rRNA from 2 species